GACGAACCGUCCGAACGUUAUUCGGUAUCACUGGGCUUAAAGAGUUCGUAGGCGGCCCGACAGGUGAGGUGUGAAAUCCCUCGGCUCAACCGAGGAACUGCGCUUCAAACCGUCAGGCUUGAGGGAGAUAGAGGUGAGCGGAACAGAUGGUGGAGCGGUGAAAUGCGUUGAUAUCAUCUGGAACACCGGUGGCGAAAGCGGCUCACUGGAUCUUUUCUGACGCUGAGGAACGAAAGCUAGGGUAGCGAACGGG
rnacentral:rRNA from 1 species